ACGAUUGGUGACAGCUCGUUGAAUACUCCAGUUCUCAUGGAUCACUGAAGUUAAGUAACGGAGAGCGUGGUUGGUAUCCGGAUGGGUGGCCAUUUGGGUAAUCGUGUGCUGCUUUUC
rfam:Asian citrus Psyllid, Diaphorina citri - Florida Strain, whole genome shotgun sequence.